rnacentral:rRNA from 1 species
UACGUAGGUGACCAGCGUUGUCCGGAUUUACUGGGCGUAAAGAGCGCGCAGGCGGUCGUUCAAGUCGAGUGUGAAAGCCCCCGGCUCAACUGGGGAGGGUCACUUGAUACUGAUCGACUCGAAGGCAGGAGAGGGAAGCGGAAUUCCCGGUGUAGUGGUGAAAUGCGUAGAUAUCGGGAGGAACACCAGUGGCGAAGGCGGGUCGCUGGGCCGG